GACGAACGCUGGCGGCGUGCUUAACACAUGCAAGUCGAACGGAAAGGCCUCUUUCGGGGGGUACUCGAGUGGCGAACGGGUGAGUAACACGUGAGUAACCUGCCCUUGACUUUGGGAUAACUUCAGGAAACUGGGGCUAAUACCGGAUAGGAGCUCCUGCUGCAUGGUGGGGGUUGGAAAGUUUCGGCGGUUGGGGAUGGACUCGCGGCUUAUCAGCUUGUUGGUGGGGUAGUGGCUUACCAAGGCUUUGACGGGUAGCCGGCCUGAGAGGGUGACCGGUCACAUUGGGACUGAGAUACGGCCCAGACUCCUACGGGAGGCAGCAGUGGGGAAUAUUGCACAAUGGGUGGAAGCCUGAUGCAGCAACGCCGUGUGCGGGAUGACGGCCUUCGGGUUGUAAACCGCUUUCGCCUGUGACGAAGCGUGAGUGACGGUAAUGGGUAAAGAAGCACCGGCUAACUACGUG
rnacentral:rRNA from 1 species